rnacentral:rRNA from 1 species
CCUACGGGGGGCAGCAGUGAGGAAUAUUGGUCAAUGGGAGAGAUCCUGAACCAGCCAAGCCGCGUGAGGGAAGACGGCCCUAUGGGUUGUAAACCUCUUUUGUCGGAGAACAAAACCCGGGACGUGUCCCGGACUGCGUGUAUCCGAAGAAAAAGCAUCGGCUAACUCCGUGCCAGCAGCCGCGGUAAUACGGAGGAUGCGAGCGUUAUCCGGAUUUAUUGGGUUUAAAGGGUGCGUAGGCGGUCCGUUAAGUCAGCGGAAAAUUGCGGGGCUCAACCCCGUCGAGCCGUUGAAACUGGCAGACUUGAGUUGGCGAGAAGUACGCGGAAUGCGCGGUGUAGCGGUGAAAUGCAUAGAUAUCGCGCAGAACUCCGAUUGCGAAGGCAGCGUACCGGCGCCAGACUGACGCUGAGGCACGAAAGCGUGGGGAUCGAAUAGGAUUAGAUACCCUUGUAGUC